rnacentral:rRNA from 1 species
GACGAACGCUGGCGGCGUGCUUAACACAUGCAAGUCGAACGAGAACCUCGAUGCUUGCAUUGAGGGGAAAGUGGCGAACGGGUGAGUAACACGUAGGUAAUCUGCCCUCGAGUGGGGGAUAAUUCCGGGAAACUGGUUGUAAUACCGCAUAACAUCCGGGUGGGGCAUCCCGCUCGGAUCAAAGGCGCAAGCCGCUCGAGGAUGAACCUGCGUCCCAUUAGCUUGUUGGUGAGGUAACGGCCCACCAAGGCGACGAUGGGUAGCUGGUCUGAGAGGACGACCAGCCACACUGGGACUGAGAUACGGCCCAGACUCCUACGGGAGGCUG